CCAGCUGGCCGGGCGGCCGCACCCGCAAAGCCGAAAGGCUGCGGGUGAGGAAAGUCCGGGCUCCAUGGAAACACGGUGCCGGUUAAUGGCCGGCGGGGGCGACCCCAGGGAAAGUGCCACAGAAAGCAAACCGCCACGAUUUAUCGGGCAAGGGUGAAAGGGUGGGGUAAGAGCCCACCGCGCGACUGGCAACAGGAGCGGCACGGUAAACCCCACCGGGAGCAAAACCGAAUAGGGACGGUGCGAGGGGAAACCUUCGAGGGCUGUUUCCGGCUCACCGUCCGGGUAGGUUGCGUGAGGCGCAUGGCAACAUGCGCCCAAGAUGAAUGGCCGCCACGUUCUCGCCCCGAAAGGGGCGAGGGCCAUACAAAACCCGGCUUACAGGCCAGCUGGCAAU
rnacentral:RNase_P_RNA from 1 species